AUGUUCAGAUCGAAGGUCCAGGAGAUGAUCCUUAGGAGGAGGUCCAGGUCCAUGAACGGCGCCGGCUGCGGGCAGCACGCCGGAGGCAACCUGUCCACGGCCCCCUGCGACGGUGGAGGCGGCAAGGGUGCUGCUGUUCGUGCGCCGUCGUUCGCGGCGCCGAGGCUGCUGCACUCGUCGUCGCUCCCGGCCGGCGGCCGCGCCGCGGUCGUCAUCGGGAGCCCCGCGCGGGAUCCGGAGACGAUGUCCGCCUACGCCAUGAGCCCGACCUCCGUGCUUGACGCGUCGGUGACCUUCGGUUCGCCCGGCCCGGCGGUGGACGCCGGGGGGAGCAAGCGCCGGCCGUGGUGCGACGGGUGCGCGGGGCCGCACGGGCUCGCCGACGUGCUGGACUGCGCCCACGAGGCGCAGCGGAGGAAGAACGUUCUCCGGGGCGCCGUGAGGGCGCAGGCGCCGGCCCUGGUGCGGUCGUCCUCCCUGGACCGGCGCGUGGAGUUCGGCGUCAAGAACAAGAGCUCGUGGCUGCCGCUGCGCUCCGCCCGCGCGGGGGCGGCUGAGGCCGAGGAGGACGGGCCGUCGUCCGAGGACUACACCUGCGUCAUCUCCCGCGGGCCCAACCCGAGGACCGUGCACAUCUUCGGCGACCGCGUCGUGGAGGGCGCCCGCGUGGCAGAGAGCCCGCCGCCGGCGCCGGCGCGCCAGGGCAGAGGCUUCCUCAGCCUGUGA
rnacentral:rRNA from 1 species